GCCACCGUGUCGGAGGCGAGGCGAGGAAGGGAGCUGGAAUAACAAAGGGAGGUAAUGGGGUAGAUUGGAUACCUCUGGGGUCUUGGAAGAAGCUAUGACUUAUUUACUGUCUACUAUGUGGGAGCUCAGGAGGGGGAAUUGCACUGAAGAUUUGUCCCAUCGUGAAGCAAGAGCACUGGAACUUACACUCCACCAUCAGGCCCUGUCACAGGAGAACAAAGAAGGAAGGCAGAGGAGAUCAUGCUCCGGCCAGCAGGGAAUCUCCAUUUUUUUCAGCCUCAUACCUUGGAAAGUACAAAGGAGUGAGAGCUGGGACUACCAGCCAGAGGGUUCAUGGAGGUAGUGGGAGGGGAAGAUGGGUUCUGCAUGGAGCCACUCCAGGGACUUUUCUUCUGUCUCACAGCCUGACAAUCACCUCUAGCUGUUCUCAGUCCCAUUCUCAUCAAUGACCUCGUCUCCUGAUUUUGUACAAUAUCUAGGUGACCUUCUCUUCUUUCCAUCUUCAAACGCUUGAUCAUUGAUGCUCCCUUUUCUCUUCUCUCUCCUCCUGGGAAAAGAGAAGGACCAACAUCCCCCUUUCCCUUCCUCCUGUGCUGUCCCGACCCCUCUGAGACCUGGCUCUAGCAGUAAGUCCCUCUCUCUUCUGCAGCACCAGCCUCUGCCCAUCCCUGCCCUCUGCACACAAAGCUCUCACAUUGUCUGCACUUUAAGAACUUUUGUGGCAAACCCUGGCAAAUCCUGCCACUUGUUUCCACUCUUCUCAAAUGGCUUUGAGGUCAUCAUUGACCUAUCCCAUUUGACCCUGUCCUGUAUCUGAUGUUGUACCCUUUCUCCUUGAUCCCACUCUGGCAACUCUCCCACUCCCCUUUCUUGGAUCAACUGUCUUGCUCCUCAGUCUUGAUCAAUGCCUCCUUCUCUCUCUUUAGCCUUGGCCCUUUUUGGCCAGGGAAAUAAAUGUGAAAUACAUAAAGCUUCAUUUUAUCUUAUGAUUAUAGCUAUGUUGAUGUUACCCAAGACCUAAAAGUCACACUCUCUAAUUACACUUCCCUCCUGUGUUCUGGGUCCUCUUGGACCAGUCCUUACUCUGGCUCCCCUCCUGGAUGUCUCCCAGACUUCUAAUUAGAAUUACUGUUUCCUAUAUCAAGCUAAUUAUCUUUCCCACCAACCUCCUCCAUCCUUGGGUGAAAGCAUCACUUGGUUGCAAAAGUCAGAAAUCUGGGUUUCAUUCUUGCGGUAGGUAGAAUAAUGCCCCCAGGCCCCAGGUUUUGACAUCCGAAUCCCUGGGACUUUGCAGAUGUGAUUCAGUUUAGGAUUUUGAGAUGGGGAGAUUAUCUGGGAGAGCCUGAUGUCAUCAUAAGGUUCUUAUAAGAGGGAGGCAGGAGGGUUAGAGUGAGUAGUAAGAGAUGCAACAGUGGAAGCAAGAGGUUGGGGUGAUGUGGCCACAAGCCCAGGAGUGCUGACAGACAUCAGAAGCUGGAAGGGACAAGGAAUGGUUUCUCCUCUGGAGCCUCCAGAAAGAACC
rnacentral:lncRNA from 1 species